UACGGGGGGGGCAAGCGUUGUUCGGAAUUACUGGGCGUAAAGGGCUCGUAGGCGGCCAACUAAGUCAGACGUGAAAUCCCUCGGCUUAACCGGGGAACUGCGUCUGAUACUGGUUGGCUGGAGUUCGGGAGAGGGAUGCGGAAUUCCAGGUGUAGCGGUGAAAUGCGUAGAUAUCUGGAGGAACACCGGUGGCGAAGGCGGCAUCCUGGACCGACACUGACGCUGAGGAGCGAAAGCCAGGGGAGCAAACGGG
rnacentral:rRNA from 1 species